rnacentral:rRNA from 1 species
UGGGGAAUAUUGCACAAUGGGGGAAACCCUGUUGCAGCGACGCCGCGUGAGCGAAGAAGGUUUUCGAAUCGUAAAGCCCUGUCCUAUGGGAAGAUAAUGACGGUACCAUAGGAGGAAGCCCCGGCUAACUACGUGCCAGCAGCCGCGGUAAUACGUAGGGGGCAAGCGUUGUCCGGAAUCACUUGGCGUAAAGGGUUCGCAGGCGGAAAUGCAAGUCAGUUGUGAAAGGCAGAGGCUCAACCUCUGUAAGCAAUUGAAACUGUAUUUCUUGAGAUGUGGAGAGGCAAGUGGAAUUCCUAGUGUAGCGGUGAAAUGCGUAGAUAUUAGGAAGAAUACCGGUGGCGAAGGCGACUUGCUGGACACAAACUGACGCUGAGGAACGAAAGCGAGGGUAGCAAACAGG